rnacentral:rRNA from 1 species
UACGUAGGGUGCAAGCGUUAAUCGGAAUUACUGGGCGUAAAGCGUGCGCAGGCGGUUGUGCAAGACAGAUGUGAAAUCCCCGGGCUUAACCUGGGAACUGCAUUUGUGACUGCACGGCUGGAGUGCGGCAGAGGGGGAUGGAAUUCCGCGUGUAGCAGUGAAAUGCGUAGAUAUGUGGAGGAAUACCGAUGGCGAAGGCAGCCCCCUGGGCCAAUACUGACGCUCAUGCACGAAAGCGUGGGAGCAAACAGG